GAUGGACGCGGAUAAAGCAUUUUUAAAAGACAACCUGAAACGUCACACUGACUGCAACACAGAAUGUGUUCAGAUCAGAAGACCCUGUCCCCACUACUGAUGCAUCACCAGAUCCAUCCCAAGUGGACUCCUCUCCUCCUACAGCCUUUCUCGAGAUCCCUACCUGGAAGCGACCCUUCCCUUUCCAAGCCCCAGAUCAUUCAUAUACUGCGUGGAGUUAGGAUGAUGUUUCUCCUGUCUUUUCACGUGGUCCCUGCUCACUGGCAGUGAAUGCCCUGGAGGGCCAAAGACCAGGGAAGAAACUCAACACAAGCUGCUUGAAGGCGACGGUAGGAGGAAGAAGAAAGCAGGAAAUCAUUGCAAGCAGGGUGGGCAUGGACGAUGGGGGACAAGGCACUCACAGACUGCAUCACCAUGGGGUUCUUUUCAAGGACGGACUGGGGCUUUCUGGCCUUGGCUGAGGGCCACCCAACAGUCUGAGCUCUCCUCCCGGACAUGGCAGCCAUGGGGCAACCUCAUGGACUGUUCAGGAAAGUGAGAAAGAUGGAGUCUAUGGGGGAUGCGAGGUCAGGCAGUCAGGAUACAGUUCCGAGGGUGUUAAAGUCCACACCCAGUGAUCCUGGCCCUCUGGCUGUGUCCAGGGCACGAGAGCAAGCGUGUCAAUAUUUGUCCCGAAGCUAGUGUCGUAGAGUUGGAUGAGACCUCAGACACCAACUGACCCUUGGCCCCCACAUGUCAGGAGGGCAACUCGUCCUCAGAGGAGACAGCUUGCUCUGGUCACCAAGUGGGAGGGUGGCAGAGCCUUGAACAACUGGACAUUGGACCACCGUGCCCAGAGCACUUCUUUCUUCCCUGCUGCUGCCUCUGGAGGGGACUUCAGAGACAGAAGGCACUUGGCGCUCGUUUCUGAGCCCCCUGUCCAGGGCCCUAGACCCACAGAUUGACCCUCUGGGCCCACAGGCCUGGAUUCCUUGAUAGGAAAGCUCUCAAGGGCCGAAUAAGAAUCGCGCAGGCGGCCAGCUACUCUGACAUAGCACCUCUUCCGGAACACAAUUGCGAGGCUAAGACCCAAAAAGCCCUUAGUACAGUGCCUGGUUCGCAGUAGGCAGUUUUUACUGUAAAUUGUGAUUUCUUUGGAGCAGAAGCCCACAGAACCAGGCAAAAAAAUAAGUGGAUGUGAAGAGGAAGGUGUGGGCCCAGGUCCUACAAACUCCCAAACCUGUACCUUGCAAAAAAGUGUGAUUUGGAGUA